rnacentral:rRNA from 1 species
CAAUCUUUGACGCAAUGGCGCUCUCGGGAUAUACCUGGGAGCACGCCUCUCUCAGAAUCGAUCUCACUCUCAUCCAUUUUCUUUUCUUAGGAGAAGAGCGUGUGGUGGUGGUUGGGAGUCAAAGCGCGUGUUACUAUGUGUUUUGUCUCUUUAAAUGAGUGGAGCUGUAGCGGUGCCCUGUGCACAGCUAGCAAUUUCCGUGUUCUCUCACGUCGAUAGUUUCACAGUAAUGUGGAUUUCAUUUGAAACGUGAUGAGGUAUGGUGAUCUGCUGCUGCGCGUCAAACAGUGUGUACCUGCCCUUAGCAACUACAGUGUAAGUCAAUAAGCGUGGCGACGUAUAAUUACCAUACUUUAGCGAGCGAUGACAUUCAAAGCGAUUUACCCGCUAUCAUUUAGCAGUGUUUCGACACGGCGGUGAGCACCAAUCGGAACCGGCGCGAGUCGGCCCCAUUCGACUGGUGUUACAACGGAGGUGAAUCGUGUUUUUGCUUUAGCGAUGUAUUAUAGUAUGGUGUAGCGUAGCGUGGCUGUAUGGUGCUGGCUUAGUGCUGGCCCAGUUGUUUGAUUUGAUCUGAGAUGAAGCGAGAUUACCCCCUGAAUUUAAGCAUAUUAAUAAGGGGAGGAAAAGAAACUAACAAGGAUUCCCCUAGUAACGGCGAGUGAAGCGGGAAUAGCUCAGACUGAGAAUCGAGUGUGCAUGCGCGCCCUCGAGUUGUAUAGUGUCGACGCAUGUUCAGCGUGUGACCCGG